CGCUGCCGGCCGGGCUCUUGGUGCUGCCGUUGGCCGUACGGUUCUUCCCCAGGAACUCAGGCCCUUUCUCCAUCAUGCCGGGCAUGGUAGAAAGGGGGAGGGGGGAGGAGUGACAGCGAAAGGGGAAGAUAAAAUUUGGACAGGGUCCCAGUCCUGUUGGCUCAGAGUCAGUCCUUUACAGACAAGACAGUGAGAGGAGCCAGAGUGUAUCCCCUGAUCCAGAAGUGAAGAAAAGAGCAGUGUUCAGGAGGUGUUUUCCAGUCCUGAAGUCAAUCUUCGAGGUGUCCACCGAAAUCCAAGGAAGAAGUUAGGCCAGGCAAAAGAAACAUCUUGGGACAAUGCCUGUCUGUGCUAUUGUAUAUAUGAAGAUCACUGCCCCUCCCCUCUUCCUUGACUUGUGUAGAUUAGAGUUUGAUCUUCAAGUUCUGCCAAGCAAGAACCUUGAUGUUGAGUUUUAAUAAGACCCUGGGAAAUUGACCCAGAGUGAUAAAGGAAGUUUGAAAUUUUUGACCUAGAUAGAAUUUCCUAUCAAGGUGAUUUUAUAGUUAUUUUGAAUUCUAAUGGGAAAUAACCCUUUUUGAAAGGGAACCCUAAAUUAACAUAAGAUGCUUCCUGUAUUAAGCACCUAGGAAAUGUGGUUUGUGGACGAUACAAAGAUUCAAUCUAGUGGGGAUGUUGUAAACCAUUUCCCAGACACUUUGGGAUUGAAGAUACAAAGACCAAAAUGAAAACAGUUCCUACACACUCAUGGAGUAACAUGUUAUUGGAGAUAAAGACAUCACCUCUAAUCUCAUAAUACUUAGGAAGCUAAAACACUAAAAUACAAUGCUGUGUAAUAAAUGUUGAAUAUUAUAAACCUAAAA